ACCACACCACAACAAAACCACCGAGACACCGAGCGUCAAACUCGCCACCCAGCCAGCCAGCAAACCACCAGCCGAGAGAGCUAGCUAGCAGGCACCGUCCGUACCCAUGGCUCGCGCUACCGUCGUCUUCGCCAUCGCCGCUCUCCUCUUCGUCGCCAUGGCCGUGGCGCCGCUGGCCGCUGAGGCGAAGGAGUCCGCCGACGCCCCCACCGCCGAUGCGCCGGCCGAUGCCAGCGGGCCGGUGGGUGCCCCUGGCCCCCAGGGCGUCGACGGCCUGUCAGGCAACGAGGACGACGACGACGACUCCACCAACUGAGGCCGACCGGCCGAGCACGUCGUCUGAUAUAUCGUCGGUUCUGAAAACGAAUGGCCCGGUUGAAUUUGGAACAGGACAUGGAAGAAAAAGUGAGAGCAAUGUCAUUUAAUUUGAAGCCAUAUGUAAUAAUGUGUGGUCGUCCGUGGAUAUAUAUGUUCUUUGCUCUCCCUCUUUUUUCUUUCUGUUUGAUUUUCGAUGCGUUAUAUCUUGUUCUUAGCUCCUAAUUGUAACAACUCUUGAUAUCAAGGACUCCAAAUUUUAUCAUUUCUGUGUUUCUGAGCCACUGAGAGUCAUGUGCAUGCCUGGAUCACGAUGUUAGUUUUAGG
rnacentral:lncRNA from 1 species